CAGCCGCCGCGGGAAAACGUAGGUGGCAAGCGUUGUCCGGAAUUAUUGGGCGUAAAGGGCUCGCAGGCGGCUUCUUAAGUCUGAUGUGAAAGCCCCCGGCUCAACCGGGGAGGGUCAUUGGAAACUGGGAAACUUGAGUGCAAAAGAGGAGAGUGGAAUUCCACGUGUAGCGGUGAAGUGCGUAGAGAUGUGGAGGAACACCAGUGGCGAAGGCGACUCUCUGGUCUGUAACUGACGCUGAGGAGCGAAAGCGUGGGGAGCGAACAGGAUUAGAUACCCCAGUAGUCCCUGUCUCUUAUAC
rnacentral:rRNA from 1 species